rnacentral:rRNA from 1 species
UACAGAAGGUGCGAGCGUUAUUCAUAAUUAUUGGGCGUAAAGGGUGCGUAGGCGGCAUGAUCAGUUAUUGGCGGCAAAUCGAGGCUCAACCUCGUGGAAACUAAUAAUACUGUCUUGCUUGAGUGCAGAAGAGGUUAACGGAACUCCAUGUGGAGCGGUAAAAUGUGUAGAUAUAUGGAAGAACAUCAAUAACGGCGAAGGCAGUUAACUAUUCUGUUACUGACGUUGAGGCACGAAAGCGUGGGGAGCAAAAAGG